UCUGACCCAGUCCUUUCCCCAGGUACUCAGUCAGUGGUUCAGGCUGUGACUCAGCAGUUCCCAUACACCUCCACAGCUCUCUGGAGGACACGGAGGCAUUUCCACCCUCAGUCCAGCAGCAAUGCAGCCCUACUUCAGGCUGGAUCAAAAUGACACAGUUUGACUCAUAUGCCCGGUAAUCAGACAGCAUAACCACGAACAAGACCUCUGUAUUAUUCCCAGGGAAGUGACCAACUAUCCUCAGCUCUUGCUACACACCAUGUUUUUGACAAGCACAUCCUUCUCUCUCCUAGAAUUUCACUCCUUGACCCCCAAAUCCCUCCCAGCUAAUCCACUGCGGAGAGAAGGCAGCAAAACCAGCAACCUACUGCAAAGGCUCUUGCAACUGAGGCACCAGGGAACCUCAAAGCUGUCUCUAACAAAACACAAUGCAAAGCCUUGCCUAGAUCCCUGGGAACAUCUUAGGUUUUAUGUUUAUUUUUCAGUGCGAUCAUCAAGCAAGACAGCAAAGAGCCUCGUCACCAUCCAUCACGAACUUCAUUGUUUAGUAACAAGAUGUAUUACCCCCUUGCAGCAAAAUAACACUCCAGCCAAAGCUCCCAUUUGUUAUGAUCUAGCUGACUGGGACAGCUGUUUGUGUCAAUGCUGUAAACACUCCAUUUGGGGCAGAGACAGCAAGUUUUAAGUGCUAAUAAAUGGGACUGCAGGCCACUGAGCAUGCACAAGGUUAGUGGCUAGUCACCAGCAGCCCUCUCUGGCUGGGUCCCUUGAGCAGCCCCAGCCCACUGCUGCACGCCCAGCUCCGGGCACCGAUCCCAUUGCAAUGGCCCUACCAGCUCAGCUGCAGCUCCAUCAUGCAUUUCCCCACAACCCAACAGCCCCACUGCCAGGGCACGGCAAUCGACCACAGAGUGCCAGAAAGCCAGCAGCUGCGUGGGCAGGAAGCAUUUGGUACCGAGCCAGCUGCUCUCAGCCCAACAGGAAUGAGGUCAGUGCUGAAGGAGGAACUUAAGUGUCUCCGUGCAUCUGGAAGGAGCUGUAUCUGCUUUUCUGCAGUCACCUUUAUCAGAAACAGCCUCAGAUGAUCAGACAGCAGAGAGAAAGCUUUCCAGACAGCACUGGCAGACUUUUCCAGGAACUUACGAUGGUAACCUUGGGUAGAACAGAAUGAAAUGCUUAGCUAGGUCUUUGAUCUUGUGCCUGCCAUGCUUUCCAGAGUUGGAGGCAUGCUCCUAUCUUUAGUUUAUUAUCCGCUGCACAAUCAGCUUUAAAGCUCCAAAAAAGCAAAGGCCAUUGAAGCUGGUAGUUGGUAACAGCAUACCGGGGGGCCAGAGAUGACCUAUCACCACGCCAGAUUCCCAAGCACACAUCGGGGCAGCUCAGAGCAUGCUUUCUCUUGCCAUGCAAGCUCAACUGCAGCCAGCCUAACCUAUACCCCAAAGAGCCAGCAGCCUUCCAGAAUCCCCAGACAGAGGCAGGCUGCCUGCUCACAUGGUGCCCUUGCUCUGGCUGCAUGACAUCUGGUACAGCAAAGACAGUGUCUUUGCAGAGCAGCUUUAGGUGAUGCAGAGUACAUUGUGGCAGCAGCCAUCAGGGGAUUUCACUGAGGUCACAGCCUCGACACGUUAGACACAGAUGUCACUUCCAUUUCUGAGGCAGAAAAAAAAAAAAGCUUAAAGAUGUACAGACAAAGCACUGGCAAGAUACCAUAAUUUAUCAUCACUGUCAUCGGAAGCACUCACAAUAGCCUGAGUAUACCCUUCAACUCCUCUGUAACAACUCCUUUGAGAGGUACAUGAAUGCUAGAAGCAGGGACAGGCCUCCUGUACAUUUACACCUCUGACUCUGAGGAACUAAAUCCUUCAGGAAGGCUGCAAGGAUUAAAAAAAAAAAGAAAUAAAAAUCACCAGCCCUCCAAUCUCUGCAGCCAGCCUGACAAACUGUCCUCAGGAGCACCCAUAGAGCAUACAGAGGGAGCACUGUGGUCCAUCAGUAGUAUCAGAGCUAGCUUAAUAACACCUACAGAAGAGAAAAAGCCACUGCUAUUUUCACACUGCUUGAUCAGACCUCUAUUUCAACUGCAGCAGCACAGUGUCACCCCAUCCUAGGACCUAAAGGUAGAAGUAGGUAAAGGCACAAAACAUGAUAAAAGCACCACCAUAUCAUUACCUUCUCCUGUACAGCCUUGCAGCUUAGUAAGGACUUUAUCUGGCCAGGAACUUUUCACUCUGCAAAUCAAGAGCUGGAAAUAAAAACCCACAGGCAGCAGAUCCUUCGGCAGACUCAGGCUGCAUCAUGUUCAGGAGAUUACCACAAACCCAGAUGACACUCAGGGAGAUGAACCACAGCUUCUCACCCUCUCAUGACAAGGCUGUAUUGACCAUCAAACAAACUCCUUGAAGCAAAGCAGAGCAGCAGUGAACUCACUAUACUCCUGUACACCAACAAGGGGCACUCAAAGAAUUUCAUCAAUCCCAUAGCAUGGAACAUUUUGUACAAGAUGUGCUUAAUGCAGACAACAAACUUGGGUCCAGGCUCAGGCAUUAUCUUGUACGCUGCUUUAUCACUUACCUGGAUUUUUCUUCAUUUUCCUUUAUUGGUCUGCAAAUAGCUCAAGGGAAGCCCAGGCCAUGUCACACUGGGAAAGGCUCCCAGGACUCAGCCAAUAGGUUGGGAGUAGGUUCACAAGGAAGGACCCAUAUCCUCACUGCCUCUUCACAUCCACUGUGGCACAGUCCCAGGAAAAUCAGUGGGAUAUAAGCCACCAGCUAGAAAUGCUUAAAAGUCCUAAAGCAAGACAUAGAACAUUCCCUUGCAGUCCCCCUGUACUUCUCACUCAGCACUAAGAGAUUCAGUUGAAAGGGUCAUUUCAAGUUUAAGAAAGAACACUUUCACACAGCUGCUUUGAAAGCUCACCUCUUCUGCACUUCCCAGGGUCAGGCAAAUAGCCCCUUGCCACCUUGUUGGGGUGUGGAGGAAACUUAUUAAUCACCUACCAGCCACCACCUGCAGUGCUCUGGCAAAGCCACAGAGCUCUUUGGUGGUUAUCAGCACCCACACCUGUAGCUAACAGGAAUCUAACACUGAACACGAGCUAACAAGUGUUAAAAUUGAGCAGUGAGAGCUGCCCUUCUGCAAAAAAGAACUGAGCCAUGAUGCUCAGCACCAGUUUUCAGCUCACCCCUGCUGCGAUGGGAUGCUCUCACAUCUACUUCUACUCUGGGUGCUUUGAGGCUGCCAGACAGGUGUAGAAGAGGAUUUGACUCAGCUCCCUGCCCAUGUGCUAUAGGGCCAUUACAGGCACCACAACCUUCACAACCACUAUAUCCCCUCUUGGCUACUGAAAAUCACAGAUGUGGUGGUACCCGUACCUCCUCCCAGGCCUUCUUUACCACUUAGCAGCCCUUAUUGUUACUUCAUGACCACAUCUUUCAGAAUCAGAGCCUUUCACAUAGAAGGCAGAGGCCAUUUCCAAUGUCUGCCCAAACCAUUUGUAGUUUAACCCAUCCCAUUGUGAGCAGCUGUUCAUGGUGCAGUUUCCAUCCACAUCCAGCGCACACACCUCCACCUCGCAGAGGGGCUUCUGUGCUUCAGAUUUGGGUUUGAAACCCAAACCUUUGGCAGCCUUCUCCAACCCAACCCUAAGAUUUUGCUUUUCUCCUCCCAAAAAGCCUACAGAGGGGCUGCCAAGCCCUCUGGCCUUUCAUUUCCUUGCUGCAUGCAGUGCUAUGAGGCGUGCUUUCAUGCUGAGCUCUUGGGGCAACGUUUGCUCUGACUUGAGGGGAAAAAAAUAUACAUAAGAAACAGGGUGGGCCAGCUCUUAGAAACACAAUAUACAGCACACCUGCUGCUCCGGGUUCGCUUCACCUCCUGCAACAAACGGGAGCCUGGCACUGCCUCACCUCACGCUCAGGACUUGAGGGGAAGCAGAUCAAAACUGAAUACACAGAGGAGCACCGCGGGCCGCAGCUCUGCUGACGCCACAGAGACGCUCUUGUGACAAAACGCUGGGGAAGGGCCGAGCGUCGCCAGCCGCGUCAGGCGGGAGCGGAGCCGCCUCAGUCCCGCCCCGCCUCCCCUCAGCGCUGCGCCCGCGCUUUUCCCGCCCUCUGAGGGGAGUAACGGCCGCCCCUCAGUAGCACGUCUCUAAGCGCUACAGCACGACCAGGGACGUGCAACUUGGAGCCAUUAGCUCUGGACCUAUCGCUGGGAGUGGAGACCGACUGCACUUCACCACAUCUUUUCCGGAGUUUUAGUGUUGAGGUCUCUCCUGAGCCUCCUCCAGACUGACCAUCCCCAUAGGACUGUGCUCUAGACCCCUCACAGUCCAUGCCAGGCACUGGGGAACUGCAGUGCUACAGGAGCUGCUGAAUCCCAUUCUCCCGGGGGAAACAGCUCCAUGUGCUGGCAUGGAUUAGAGGAGAAAAAGAGCCCCAGAAAACAUGGAUGAAGCCCUCACCUGAGCCAGUCCUCCUCCAGCCCUGUGUGGAGCUGGAGCAUUGGCUUGCCUGACCUGUAACAUGGUGCGGAGUGAGGGAGCCAAACGAGCCAGUGUCAAAAUCUUUUAUUUACAACAGUCUCCAAAAAUCAAGGAACAUUGAAAAUAGUGAGAGUAGGAGACGACUUACAAAAAGUAACACGCAUACGUUACAUUGCGAAUUGUGCUACAUCACUCUGAGAACCGAUGCAGGUCUGCAGGCACGUGGCGAAGCGGCAGCACCUCGAGGUGCUCGUGCCCCCUCUCCCCCCAUCAUCCCUCUUCUUUGCUCUCUUCCCUGCAAACCUUCCUGCCUGCUGCUCUGCCUCCAGUCCUCCUAUCACCCCCCCCUGCUGUCCCCAAGGAGGAGCGGGGGGAGGACACAUCCCACACCUCCAUUCUGAUGAACGGAUGCUGUGAGAGUUUCCAACUCCAGGACCUGGGUGUGAAGCUGAGGAAGAGGAGUUAGCAAAGGGCUUUGAAACAGGAUAACCUGUGAGCUGUGACUUGCAUGCUAUCCGGGGUGAGGAGUGAUUUUGGUAAUUACUAAGAGACUUGCCCUGCAUAGCUGCAAAUCAAUCAACGCAGUUUUCCUGCUGGACAGUGUGCACACAUUCAUGUGUAUUUUGCAUUUAAACAGGCCUUUUAUAAUUUUCCAAGAGGGCAAGCCACUCUGGUAAGAAAAUUCAGUGCAGCACAAGCCAAAAUGAGGUGCUGUGACAUAAAAGCAACAUCCCAGUGUGUUCCAGUGGAGACAAAAUCAGGAGUCUCAGGAGACCCCUGCAGCCAGAUUGCCAAAACAGUGUGCGAACAGCUCUGUAAGCAUGCCAUAUAUCCAUCUCCUUGGGGAUAAUUUCCAGGCUGGCUUUGCUUGGGACAGAGAUCACAGCCCAGCGCAGUCACUGAUCCCUUUCCAGUAUCUGCAGCCUUUGAAACUGCCAAGAUUGGUGGCCAACCCUGAUGUCCCCAUUGCCUGUACAGGUCCUGCAUGAACCCAGCACCUCAAGAGCCACUGCAACAAAAGCAAAGAAAUGGAGUGAGGAGACCUGGAUCUAUUUCUUCCUCUGACACUGAUCUUUGCAAAGCACAUCAGCUCUGUUCCUCUUUGCUCCAAAGCUGUUGUGAGUCCUACUCUCACCAGUGUCUGUGGGGAACCUUGAACUCAAGCAGCAGCAAUUCUAAAGGCAAGGAGCAGCAGCUCUGUACAUAUCUCUGCUUUAGCGAACUGGGAUCAAUGCCCUUCUGUGACUGCUGAGGGCUUCUUGUCAGGACAGGAUCAGCUCUGUUUUAUAGGAAACUACACAGUUUCCAUCCUGAAACAUUAACUUCUCAGAAGGUAUCCUUCAAAACAGAAUUUACAAAAAAAAAAAAAAAAAAAAAGGAGUGGG